rnacentral:rRNA from 1 species
CCUACGGGUGGCAGCAGUGGGGAAUAUUGCACAAUGGGGGAAACGCUGAUGCAGCAACGCCGCGUGAGUGAAGCAGUAUUUCGGUAUGUAAAGCUCUAUCAGCAGGGAAGAAGAUGACGGUACCUGAUUAAGAAGCCCCGGCUAACUACGUGCAAGCAGCCGCGGUAAUACGUAGGGGGCAAGCGUUAUCCGGAUUUACUGGGUGUAAAGGGAGCGCAGACGGGAGUGCAAGUCUGGAGUGAAAGCCCGGGGCCCAAACCCGGAACUGCUCUGGAAACUGUGCGGCUAGAGUUAUGGAGGGGCAGGGGGAAUUCCGAGGGUAGCGGUGAAAUGCGGAGAUAUUAGGAGGAACACCAGUGGCGAAGGCGGCCUGCUGGACCGUAACUGACGUUGAGGCUCGAAAGCGUGGGGAGCAAACAGGAUUAGAUACCCGAGUAGUC